rnacentral:rRNA from 1 species
UACGUAGGUGGCAAGCGUUGUCCGGAUUUAUUGGGCGUAAAGCGAGCGUAGGCGGUUCCUUAAGUCUGAUGUGAAAGCCCACGGCUCAACCGUGGAAGGUCAUUGGAAACUGGGGAACUUGAGUGCAGAAGAGGAGAGUGGAAUUCCAUGUGUAGCGGUGAAAUGCGUAGAUAUAUGGAGGAACACCAGUGGCGAAGGCGACUCUCUGGUCUGUAACUGACGCUGAGGCUCGAAAGCGUGGGGAGCAAACAGGAUUAGAUACCCCCGUA